AGAGUUGUAGUCCUGGCUAGGACGAACGCUGGCGGCGUGCCUAACACAUGCAAGUCGAGCGAGGAGAUCCUUCGGGAUGAUCCUAGCGGCGGACGGGUGAGUAACACGUGGGCAACCUGCCUCAUAGAGAGGAAUAGCCUUCCGAAAGGGAGAUUAAUACCUCAUAACAUUGCAGUUUCGCAUGGAACAGCAAUUAAAGGAGCAAUCCGCUAUGAGAUGGGCCCGCGGCGCAUUAGCUAGUUGGUGAGGUAACGGCUCACCAAGGCGACGAUGCGUAGCCGACCUGAGAGGGUGAUCGGCCACAUUGGGACUGAGACACGGCCCAGACUCCUACGGGAGGCAGCAGUGGGGAAUAUUGCACAAUGGGGGAAACCCUGAUGCAGCCAACGCCGCGUGAGUGAUGACGGCCUUCGGGUUGUAAAGCUCUGUCUUCAGGGACGAUAAUGACGGUACCUGAGGAGGAAGCCACGGCUAACUACGUGCCAGCAGCAGC
rnacentral:rRNA from 1 species